GCCUCUAUGGCACAGGGGUAAUGCGUGUCACUCGUACAGUUAAUCAAUCUACUUGCGGUGUAAUGACAAGAUCCGCGGUUCGAUUCCGCGUGGAGGCA